rnacentral:rRNA from 1 species
UACGAGAGGUCUCAAGCGUUGUUCGGAUUCAUUGGGCGUAAAGGGCUCGUAGGCGGCCAACUAAGUCGGAUGUGAAAUCCCCAAGCUUAACUUGGGAACUGCAUCCGAUACUGGAUGGCUUGAAUCCGGGAGAGGGAUGGCAGAAUUCCAGGUGUAGCGGUGAAAUGCGCAGAUAUCAGGAGGAACACCGGUGGCGAAGGCGGGUCUCUGGGCCGAUACUGACGCUGAGGAGCGAAAGCGUGGGGAGCGAACAGG